rnacentral:sRNA from 1 species
GCCAGGCAUGGUGGUACAUGCCUGUAAUUCUAGCCACUCAGGAGGCUGAGGCAGGAGUAUUGCAAGUUGAAGGCCAGCCUAGGCAACUGGGUGAGAUCCUGUCUCAA